AUUGAACGCUGGCGGCAGGCCUAACACAUGCAAGUCGAGCGGUAGAGAGGUGCUUGCACCUCUUGAGAGCGGCGGACGGGUGAGUAAAGCCUAGGAAUCUGCCUGGUAGUGGGGGAUAACGCUCGGAAACGGACGCUAAUACCGCAUACGUCCUACGGGAGAAAGCAGGGGACCUUCGGCCUUGCGCUAUCGGAUGAGCC
rnacentral:rRNA from 1 species